rnacentral:lncRNA from 1 species
GGGUGGGAAGGAGGGAGAUCCCGGACAAGGAUCCAACCUGGGGAAGGGGUGUGGGCUGGAGAGUAGAGACAAGGAAGACAGAAGACAGAAUCAAAAGGUGGAUGGCCCUUGGUGGGGGAGCUGUGUGGGAGCUAAGGGGUGGUGGCAGGCAAGGAUGACCCCACUGUUCAGGCCUGAACAUAGUGGGAAGACCAGAGCCUAGACAGCCAUUGUGGGCGCUCUUCCAGAAGCUGCCACCAGAGGGCAGACAAGUGCUGCCUGCAGACUAGGGAGGGAGCCAGAGUGUCUGGGGCCCACUGAGUUCCUGAGACCAGGGCAGGUGGGGACCUGGGGAGGUGUAAGGCUGUCAGGUCAUCUGGGUCACUCUGAGGCCAGAGUCACUGUCCCAAUUUUGGGGGUAGCAAAGGGUGUUUUGUUUGUUGGCCUCAAUGCCAGUGUUCCCAGGAGAGAUGGAGUCUCUGUGCCCAUGUGGGUGUGUGGAUGCCAUGUCCAGGCCCAGAGUGAAUCUGACCCACUUUCCUUGUUUGCAGAUGAUGAGGCCAGGGGCUCAGCGCUUGAUACACAUCAUUGAGGCAGUGGUCAGCAGGCCAGGGCUGAGGGCCAGGCCAGAGGCCUGAUCUGGGGGCUAACAUUAUACGCCCCUAAUUCUAGUGUUGAGUCCCUGAGGUUUGGCUUAGAGUGACAAACUAGAGGGUUUGGUGUCUCAUCAGGGGGACAGAAACCGAAAGUCUGAUUGUCUAUUUUGGGGACAGUGAUUGAGGUCCAGCUUGCUGGCUAGGAGUGACAGAUCAGGGAUCUUGUUGCCUUGUUUAGAGUGACAGCCCUGUUUCUGGUUGGGGUAAUAGAAAUGAAUUGUCACUUUUAGGUGACAAGAUACCAAUAGUCAGGAGACAGAAACUGGAAUUCCUGGGGCCUGAGUGUCUAGAAGGCAUAUUUGGGAUGAUGACACUGAGCUGGAACUCUAGUUUUGGAUGGAGGUGACCCGUAUUUGUUAUCCCGAGGCAACAGAGGCAGGUUAGGAGCAGCUGCAGGUCUAGUUGUCUGUUACAGCCUGGGGGUCCCACUAUGUAACAAAGACUGGGACAACACAGACUGAGGAGGGAUCUCACUGCGUAGUGCAAAGUGACUGUAACUGGAGCAGCACAUAUUAUAAUUUGGGGAAUGUUUGCUCACCUAGUUUGGGUUAAAGAUACAGUGAGUCCAGUUAUCAAUUUUAUUAUUACUAUUAUUAUUAUUGAACUGGACCCAGGGGUUCUUAAUCACUGAGCUACAUCACAGCCCUUUUUUAAUUUUUAUUUUGAGACAGUCUCACUAAAUUGCUUAGAGCCUCACUGUCGCGUUCCAGGACUAAACACUCAGGGUCACUCCAGGUGAACUGGGCUGCACGAAACAAUCACACAGAGACAGAGAUACCUUUUUCUUUGGGUCCUAUGAUGGCGCCUCUGAGGUCUAUGGAAAGAAAGAGAGCAAGGAGCACGUCCUGAACCCUUUUAUUGGGGAGAAGGCAAGGGGUCAGGUUUCAGGGGUUGAGUCUAGCUUAGUGAUGUCUGCUGUCAAGAGAUUGACUGACAUCUAGGGAGGCCACGCCCAUCUCAUGAGCUGUGUGGGGUCAUGGCAGGGCAAGUGAAAAGAUCAGAGCGAGGCCUCCAAAACAGAAGGGCAACGUGGGUUCAGUCCAUCCUGUGCGCUCAGUGCCCAUAGUUCACACACACAGCCCAUGGCUGGCUUGCCACAUGUCCACAUUCUCAUUGCUCAAGGCUAAGGGGCACUCGGUUCUUAAGUGACAGCUCCCGACACCUCACUAAGUUAAGGCUGGCCUUGAAUUUAACAAUCCUCCUGUCAGCCUCCCAAGUCACUGGGAUUACAGGCAAGCAUACCAUACCUGGCUCAGUUCUCAAAUGACAGUUUAGGAACUCUUGUCUGAUUUAGAGGGACAGGAACUUGAGUUGUUUGAGAUGUCAGUGACUUGGAUUCCUGUGUAGGUUGGGGUGAUGGGCUGAGAUCCACAGGUACACUUUGGGGUGGUAGACUGGGGUCUGACUGUCGAGUUUGGGGUGAUGAAGACUGGGAGUCCUGGAAUCUCCUUGGGGAAAAUAGGGUGUGGCCUCUGGGAGAGACAGCUGGGUGGAGACAGUAAAAUUUAAAGUUUGAGGUUCAAUGGCUAGUAUAGAGCAACAGAAAUUGGGGUCUGGUGGACCCCAUGGGGGUAUCUGAAAUUUGUGCUGUUUCUCUUGUUGAGGUGGCAGGAUCCUUGAGGUCUGGCCGGGGCUGGGGUUACAGGGACCAAGGGACAGGUUUCCUGGUUUGGGCUGAUGACACUGGUGUUCAGGGCUUCAGUUUGAGAGACCUGGUGACCAGUCGGCUAAUCUGAGGCUGUGGGCUCUACAGGUCUGGUUGCGUAUGUGAGGGGACAAAGCCCCUGGGGUCUGGUUGAAUCCUUUGGGGUGCGUCCCUGAGAGUGCAGGCUGCCUGGGGGGUGAGGCCAUGCUGCGCAGCAGUGAGCAGCCCCCUGUGACAAGAAGUAGAACCACUACCCUGUCGUACGUGGUUCUUUUAAUAAAUGUGUCAUUCCUAUGUUAGUCAGGAGUUCACCACUGGGUCCCCUUCUCCAUGUGUCUGGGGCCCACUGUGGUUUCAGGAGGCCGCAGACCUUAGCUCCUCUGUGACACAGCGUCCUGUCCAUCAGCCUGGUCUGUGCUCAGGUUCCUGAUCAAGUUCUGCGAAGAUUAAUACCCAGGAAAGGGGGCAGUGGGGCAGGGGACACCAAACUGAACACUUCAAGGUGACACUGGAGUUCAGUCAGGGCUUUAGUUUGAGAGACCUGGUAACCAGUCGGCUAAGUGAUGUGUGCAGUGCUGUUCUGGUGACCGAGGGGUGGGGCAGCCACAGCGUGUGGAGUCAACGGUUCUCCCUGGGCCAAUGCCCUUGGAGGGCAAAGGCAGCUCAGCUGGACCACUCAGCACAGCACUUGUGUCAAGGCACAGAGGAUGCCAUCUUGCUCCUGGAGUGUCCAGUUUGGCAGGAGACCCAGAAUGACCACGGCCUAGGGCAGCCCCUGGCCCAGCCAAGAGGCAGGAAAGCCCUGGCCUCCAGGAAGGCUGGUGGGCUCUGCUGAGCUUCUCUCUUGGAGUAGCCCCCCAUUCCUGGGACCUGAGACCCAGGCAGGUCUCUUCAGACUCACAGGAAGCUGGACCAGGGACAAGCGCCCAGGAGAGAUGCCUGGUAGCCAAUGAGAAAGGAGACCUGAGACUCGGAGAAACAAGUUCUAUUUUCCGUCUUCAGGGGGUAGGAUAAUAUUCAUUUCAUAAUGUACUUUUGUGUAAAUGAAGAAUAGAAAGUAAGAUUUCUUAAUUUGGGGAUAAAGUUUUGUUUGUUUGUCUUGAGGUACUGGGGAGAUCAAGCUCAGGGCAUUCCACCACUGAGCUGCAUCCACGGACCUUUUUGCUUUUUUUUUUUUUUU